AUGAUGGACUGCAGUUCAUGAAGCUACUGUCCAGUUAGUUAGACAGUAAAGGAUUAAAUAGCCCAGCCAAAUUUCUCCUCAGCCUCUGGAAUUUUUGUCAGUUAACUUUAAAGAGAUCAAGACCUUCAAAUCCUAAUGCUGAGACACUUUUUUAGUACCCUACACUCUUCAUUAAGAAACUAAUUUCUUGGAGGAGGUCUGAAACCUGCAUGUCACCAUUUCCAUGGGUAUCAGUAACUUGCACUGUUAAGAAGCAGUUGUGCUACGAAAGGGAAGCUAAUGCUCUACAAGUGUGAAGAUGUAGACCUGGUAUAUGCUUUGAGCAAGGAGAAAUAGCACUGACAACAGCACAGAAGAGCACAGUUGACUUAUAACAAGUACACCAGUAUUAUCACAGAUGUCAUCCUCCAAAAUUUAUAGAGCAGUUUGGAUUUCUUUUAUGUUAAAUCAGUCAUAUUUAUAAAUGGGGAACAGACUGUAGAGUUACAUGAAUGUACAACUCUUAACUUGUAGGGUAACAAUUGAAAAUGACUUAUUUGUGUUAAUAGGGCUAAACGGCCUUCAGAUAUGAAAGGGAAGAUAUGGAAUGGCCUUUUUUGAGCUGGUAAGUUGGCUGACUGAAAAGUAGGAUUCAUAUUCAAGGUGAGGGUUUUGUAAUCCCUGCUCAUUUAGCAAGGAAAGUUGGUUAGUGACAGUGGAAAAUAGUUAGAGCCUUCAAUCAAGUAUUGAAAUGUUUACUACUGGAUGAACACUGACAGCAUUGCUGAUGACAGACACACACAGCCUGUAGCAGGAAAACCCAGCAAUCCAGAAGAGUACUGAUAAAGAGUUAUGAUGCCAUUACCUGUCAUGAAGUCCAUGCAGACAGGGCUCUACAAUUUAUGUAAAGCCAAAGUCAAGUGGUAGACCUGAAGGAGACUGAGGGGCCUUGAAAACUACCAUGAGAUAGUGAAUUGUGGAUUUUAUAUGGGUCUUU
rnacentral:lncRNA from 1 species